rnacentral:rRNA from 1 species
ACGAGUGGCGGACGGGUGAGUAACACGUGGGUAACCUGCCCUUAAGUGGGGGAUAACAUUUGGAAACAGAUGCUAAUACCGCAUAGAUCCAAGAACCGCAUGGUUCUUGGCUGAAAGAUGGCGUAAGCUAUCGCUUUUGGAUGGACCCGCGGCGUAUUAGCUAGUUGGUGAGGUAAUGGCUCACCAAGGCGAUGAUACGUAGCCGAACUGAGAGGUUGAUCGGCCACAUUGGGACUGAGACACGGCCCAAACUCCUACGGGAGGCAGCAGUAGGGAAUCUUCCACAAUGGACGCAAGUCUGAUGGAGCAACGCCGCGUGAGUGAAGAAGGCUUUCGGGUCGUAAAACUCUGUUGUUGGAGAAGAAUGGUCGGCAGAGUAACUGUUGUCGGCGUGACGGUAUCCAACCAGAAAGCCACGGCUAACUACGUGCCAGCAGCCGCGGUAAUACGUAGGUGGCAAGCGUUAUCCGGAUUUAUUGGGCGUAAAGCGAGCGCAGGCGGUUUUUUAAGUCUGAUGUGAUAGCCCUCGGGCUUAACCGAGGAAGCGCAUCGGAAACUGGGAAAACUUGAGUGCAGAAGAGGACAGUGGAACUCCUUGUGUAGCGGUGAAAUGCGUAGAUAUAUGGAAGAACACCAGUGGCGAAGGCGGCUGUCUGGUCUGUAACUGACGCUGAGGCUCGAAAGCAUGGGUAGCGAACAGGAUUAGAUACCCUGGUAGUCCAUGCCGUAAACGAUGAAUGCUAGGUGUUGGAGGGUUUCCGCCCUUCAGUGCCGCAGCUAACGCAUUAAGCAUUCCGCCUGGGGAGUACGACCGCAAGGUUGAAACUCAAAGGAAUUGACGGGGGCCCGCACAAGCGGUGGAGCAUGUGGUUUAAUUCGAAGCAACGCGAAGAACCUUACCAGGUCUUGACAUCUUUUGAUCACCUGAGAGAUCAGGUUUCCCCUUCGGGGGCAAAAUGACAGGUGGUGCAUGGUUGUCGUCAGCUCGUGUCGUGAGAUGUUGGGUUAAGUCCCGCAACGAGCGCAACCCUUAUGACUAGUUGCCAGCAUUUAGUUGGGCACUCUAGUAAGACUGCCGGUGACAAACCGGAGGAAGGUGGGGAUGACGUCAAAUCAUCAUGCCCCUUAUGACCUGGGCUACACACGUGCUACAAUGGAUGGUACAACGAGUUGCGAGACCGCGAGGUCAAGCUAAUCUCUUAAAGCCAUUCUCAGUUCGGACUGUAGGCUGCAACUCGCCUACACGAAGUCGGAAUCGCUAGUAAUCGCGGAUCAGCACGCCGCGGUGAAUACGUUCCCGGGCCUUGUACACACCGCCCGUCACACCAUGAGAGUUUGUAACACCCGAAGCCGGUGGCGUAACCCUUUUAGGGAGCGAGCCGUCUAAGGUGGGACAAAUGAUUAGGGUGAAGUCGUAACAAGUAGCCG